rnacentral:lncRNA from 1 species
AGCAUAUGUUUUUUUGGACAAAUAUUUUUAUAAAUUGGUCAAUCAAUGAAUUAGCACCACCUAAUGAUCAUUAUGCAAGACAAACGUGCAUGCAAUUUUGGAACCAACCAUUAUACGUGCAGCCAUGUAUAUGCAGCUUUCUCCCACUAGAAAAACCUGAAACAAAGCAAUGAACAGACACUAAAUCCAUCAGACAUGGCAAUCUCAAUGACCAAAAAGAAGUCUAAACCAUCCAAAAAGUUAGAAACAAAACACCAUCAGUUUUCUGAUACGCUUUUGUUCAAAAUUCUAAACCGUAUCCCUCUUGCAAUCUUUCUAUUAAUCCUUAUUUUCCUUUGGUCAUCUUCCACCACCAUCAUCUCCGGUAAAUUCGUUCACGUAUGCGUGUCG